rnacentral:sRNA from 1 species
UUUUGUGGUGACAACCUUGGUUAGGUU